AACAUGUGGCUAACCUACCCUUAGGACGGAGACAACCCCGGGAAACUGGGGCUAAUACCCGGUAGAUUAGGAGGCCUGGAAUGGUUUCUAGUCGAAAAGGCGUUGAAACCAUGCUUUUCGACGUCGCCUAAGGAUGGGGCCGCACCUGAUCAGGUUGUUGGUGGGGUAACGGCUCACCAAGCCUAUAACCGGUACGGGCCGUGAGAGCGGGAGCCCGGAGAUGGGCACUGAGACAAGGGCCCAGGCCCUACGGGGCGCAGCAGUCGCGAAAACUCCGCAAUGCGCGAAAGCGUGACGGGGCUACCCCGAGUGCCGUCCGCUGAGGAUGGCUUUUCCCCGGUGUAAUGAGCCGAGGGAAUAAGGAGAGGGCAAGACUGGUGUCAGCCGCCGUGGUAAUACCAGCUCUCCGAGUGGUAGGGAUGAUUAUUGGGCUUAAAGCGUCCGUAGCCGGCUU
rnacentral:rRNA from 1 species